UACGUAGGGUGCAAGCGUUAAUCGGAAUUACUGGGCGUAAAGCGUGCGCAGGCGGUUCUAUAAGACAGAUGUGAAAUCCCCGGGCUCAACCUGGGAACUGCAUUUGUGACUGUAGAGCUGGAGUACGGUAGAGGGGGAUGGAAUUCCGCGUGUAGCAGUGAAAUGCGUAGAUAUCUGGAAGAACACCAAAGGCGAAGGCAGUGUCCUGGGUGGUCGCUGACGCUGAGAGGCGAAAGCCAGGGGAGCGAACGGG
rnacentral:rRNA from 1 species